rnacentral:rRNA from 1 species
AGUGAACGCUGGCGGUAGGCCUAACACAUGCAAGUCGAACGGCAGCACAGUAAGAGCUUGCUCUUACGGGUGGCGAGUGGCGGACGGGUGAGGAAUACAUCGGAAUCUACUUUUUCGUGGGGGAUAACGUAGGGAAACUUACGCUAAUACCGCAUACGACCUACGGGUGAAAGCAGGGGAUCUUCGGACCUUGCGCGAUUGAAUGAGCCGAUGUCGGAUUAGCUAGUUGGCGGGGUAAAGGCCCACCAAGGCGACGAUCCGUAGCUGGUCUGGGAGGAUGAUCGGCCACACUGGAACGGAGACACGGUCCAGACUCCUGCGGGAGGCAGCAGUGGGGAAUAUUGGACAAUGGGCGCAAGCCUGAUCCAGCCAUACCGCGUGGGUGAAGAAGGCCUUCGGGUUGUAAAGCCCUUUUGUUGGGAAAGAAAAGCAGCAGGUUAAUACCCCGCUGUUCUGACGGUACCCAAAGAAUAAGCACCGGCUAACUUCGUG